UACGUAGGGCGCAAGCGUUUAUCCGGAAUUAUUGGGCGUAAAGAGCUCGUAGGCGGUUUGUCGCGUCUGCCGUGAAAGUCCGGGGCUCAACUCCGGAUCUGCGGUGGGUACGGGCAGACUAGAGUGAUGUAGGGGAGACUGGAAUUCCUGGUGUAGCGGUGAAAUGCGCAGAUAUCAGGAGGAACACCGAUGGCGAAGGCAGAUCUCUGGGCCGUAACUGACGCUGAGGAGCGAAAGCAUGGGGAGCGAACAG
rnacentral:rRNA from 1 species